rnacentral:rRNA from 1 species
ACGCUGGCGGCGUGCUUAACACAUGCAAGUCGAACGAUGAAGCCUAGCUUGCUAGGUGGAUUAGUGGCGAACGGGUGAGUAAUACGUGAGUAACCUACCUUUAACUCUGGGAUAAGCCUGGGAAACUGGGUCUAAUACCGGAUACGACCAAUCUCCACAUGGGGUGUUGGUGGAAAGCGUUAUGUAGUGGUUAUAGAUGGGCUCACGGCCUAUCAGCUUGUUGGUGAGGUAACGGCUCACCAAGGCGACGACGGGUAGCCGGCCUGAGAGGGUGACCGGCCACACUGGGACUGAGACACGGCCCAGACUCCUACGGGAGGCAGCAGUGGGGAAUAUUGCACAAUGGGCGCAAGCCUGAUGCAGCGACGCCGCGUGAGGGAUGACGGCCUUCGGGUUGUAAACCUCUGUUAGCAGGGAAGAAGAGAAAUUGACGGUACCUGCAGAGAAAGCGCCGGCUAACUACGUGCCAGCAGCCGCGGUAAUACGUAGGGCGCGAGCGUUGUCCGGAAUUAUUGGGCGUAAAGAGCUUGUAGGCGGUUUGUCGCGUCUGCUGUGAAAGGCCGGGGCUUAACCCCGUGUAUUGCAGUGGGUACGGGCAGACUAGAGUGCAGUAGGGGAGACUGGAACUCCUGGUGUAGCGGUGGAAUGCGCAGAUAUCAGGAAGAACACCGAUGGCGAAGGCAGGUCUCUGGGCUGUAACUGACGCUGAGAAGCGAAAGCAUGGGGAGCGAACAGGAUUAGAUACCCUGGUAGUCCAUGCCGUAAACGUUGGGCACUAGGUGUGGGGGACAUUCCACGUUUUCCGCGCCGUAGCUAACGCAUUAAGUGCCCCGCCUGGGGAGUACGGCCGCAAGGCUAAAACUCAAAGAAAUUGACGGGGGCCCGCACAAGCGGCGGAGCAUGCGGAUUAAUUCGAUGCAACGCG